GUUAUGUCCUUGUCCCACCUGGUAGAAGCUGGGGGACCUCGAACUAGUCCUCACCUUUGCUGGGCCUGACUUUGAGAGGAUUGGAACCUUGCAGGUGAAGGGAGGGGACUUUAUAAACUGUCAGGUGGGUGCGAGAGUCAGUCGCAAUGUUUUCUGUCAUUCCAUAAAUGGAAUUCUAUAUAAUUCUAUAAUUUAAUAAUUGCAGCAAUUGUAAUUGAUGUGGCUGCUCUGCACAGUCCCCCAGAACCAUCUGCACCUGCCGCCGUUGACGCGCAGCCCUGGGCACCAGCUGCAUUGUUGGGGGGGCAGCUUCAGGAAGUCCCCCGAUGGAUGAUGGUGGAGGAGGGGCCCUGGUACUCCAGGGCUGCUUGGGCUCUGCCUUUCCCGGCCAUUCCUUUGUCCACGGCUGACCGUGGCUGAUCGUGGCCCCUCUUGGUGUCCUGGCCUCUCCUGCCCCCAGCCCACAUUCUGUGCCCUUGGCUCUGCCCAAGGUCCUGGUGUGGCAGGGCCAGGCUCUGCUCCGAUGGGCUUAGUCUUUGUUCCUGUGUGGCGGUGACUGGGGAUGUGGCUGGGGUUGGCCUCUGGACUCCCCAGUGCUGAUGUGGGAGAGCUGAAUGGUGGCUGAGAGCUGUCUGUGCCCUGGAUGCCCAGGCUCUGGGCUCUGGAUGAGCUGUCCUGAUCAGGAGGCACCGCCUGCUGCCCGCCAGCCUUGUGGGGUGCAUGUAUCUAAUCCCAUGCCUUAUAUAUGGGUGCUUGGUGCUCUGCAGCUGGCGCUGAGUUGGGAGGCCAGUUCUCAGGGUUGGGACCACACAGGAAUUGGCAGCUGCUCUGUCCUCAAGGAGGUCCCGUUGGUGGGAGUUUGCAGCACAGAAAGAAGGUCAGAAUGACGGCACUGGGUCCUUCUGCUGGAGCCAGGCAGGACAGGAUCCCACCUUCCCCACCGGAGAGCUGGGAAGGCAGGGCCGCCCUGGUCCCAGGCGGCCAGUCACCGGGCAGAUCCAAGCCUGGUUCCCAACUCCACUCUGGCUGCUGGGGCAGCCAUGGGCCACAGUGGCUGCUGUGACAGGUGGGAGUGGGACCUUCAAGAAUCUGCCCUGUGAGAAGCAGCUCACGACGCGGGUACAUUUGGCUGGAGUGGAGACAGGAAAAUGCAUCCACAUCAUGAUCCACUAGAGGGUCCGGUUCUUAGGGCCCCACCAGCUACAGCUAAUGUGAUGGGUAAGUACAUCCCAUGCGAUAUUUGGGAGGUACUUAUCCUAAACAUUACUUGUUGAUCUAGUUAGAUCACCACCAGGUACACAGUAGGCCCUUGUUCAAAGUGAGCUCACCAUCCUCCUGAUCCAGACCUCAUCCUGACAACCCAGAAUGCUUUGGGUUCUAGAGUGUGCCAGAGGGCUCUAGAAGGUUCUAGAAGUUUCCCGAGGACCCAGCUCUGCACAGAGAAUGAAUUGGGGCUUCUCUGAGCACUGACCUUUGCCUGUGACUGCAGGCCUGACUGUGGGUAGAGCAGCUCAGAUCCGAAUGUGGAAAUCGUGCCUCAGUCACCUGGCAGCUAAUUUGGCGCCUGUGGAGUUGCUGGCCUUUGUUCAGUCUCCUCUUCCCAACUGGAGCAGAAGGAGCUUGUGAGGGAAUGGGCUGGAAAUUGGAGGGAAAUGAAGGGGAGUGAACUUAGAAACUCCCAGCCCCACUGCUAAGCGUGCCACUUAAUAGUAUGCAAAUGAGUUAAUAGUCAAACAAUUACCCAGAGUGACUCAUUUACAUGGGCCUUGAGAUGAGGAAGCAGGAGGAGGAUAUGGGGGAGCCACCCAGGAAGGAGCACCUGCAGGUCACUGUGUGCGGCAAGGGGCCUUAGUUAGAGCCACUGGUGUUUAUUGGGCACCUACUAUGUACAAGGGACAGAUGACACCUGACCCCAAGUUGCUAGUGAAGAUGGAGCCCAGGAUCUUCUCAGUACCCACUGGACCUACAGUGAAUGUGGACGGGGUGGGGGGCCUCGCUGUGAGCGUCCAGGGCAGAGUGACGUCUCUGCCUGGAAGUGGGAAGGGUCUCUCGGGUCUUCAAGGGUAGAGGGAGGGGCAUGUCUUCAGGCAGUGGAUCAGGGAGUAAGAGAAGGCUGGAGAGGGGGGAUAUUAAUACUAGGCCCUGAGGUGCCACGUUCAGUCAGGGUUAAGGUUGCGUGGCAAAAUAUAAGAUGCUCAGUUAAAUGUGAAUUUUGGAGAAACAGGGACAUUGCUUCUCCGAAAUUCACAUUUAACUGAGUGCCCUGUAUUUUCAUAAGUCUGAGGAGCAGAGGGCCUUGGUCUGUGUCCUGGGUGGUUCUCACUGGGACCGUGAAGCUACUGGAGGGGGAGUUGAUAGAGAGUGGGGCUGAGCAGGGAGGAGGGGAGAGGCAGGUGCUGGCGCCCAGCGUGGCCAGGCUGAAGCCCAGUGUUUGGCACUGGGGGUGGUACUGGGAGGAGGUAGGUUGGGGGUGCGUGGCCUGCCCUGCGGGGCCUCACUCACUCUGGGUGGGCUCUGAUGCUGCUGUAGAGCACAGAGGAGACCCACUGGGGUCUGGCUGAUGGAAGGAAUAGAGGACAUCGAGUGAAGGUUGGUAUGGGGCCUUAGAAAACAUUCAGCCACGCUUGCGCCCCUCACAUGGGCACCCGCCUGCAGAGGCUGCUGGGUUGGGAGCAGGAUUCCCUUCCAGCUCAGGGGGCCACUUGAGCCUCAGCGGCUUCUGAGGGCUUCAAGAUCCUUUUUCCUUCUUUUGUGUUUGGAGGAAUCACUUUAGCUCUAAUCGAAUGCCACAUAUACUGCUGUGCAGGCUGGUUUCAGCCCUUGAAAUCUUUCUAAACACGCACUGCCAGUCUGAGUUUUCAACAAAUGUUCCUACUCGGCACUGGUCCUCCCCAUACUCGGGGCGUCCCAGCUCGUCUGGUGCCAAAUUAGCUCCCCGUACCCCUUGCCAGGCAUAAUUCGCAGCAGUUAUUAUUCAAAGCCUGUUUUUCAAGAGGCCGCAUCCCCUGCGGUUUGCUGUUUGUGGAUCUACUUGGUGCCUGUGUGUGCGCGUGUGGGUGCACGUGCUUGCGUGUGUGCUCCGAAGUGGCUGCAGAGAGGCAGAUACGAUCACCGUGGCGGAAUCAGGACUGACCCUCCUCCACAUCCAUGAAUCAGGCUGAUUCCAAGCGAAUGAGAUUUUAAUCACCUGUCACUGCUGCCCGCACUUUCUCUAUAUUUAUGAUAAUUUUUGGGUCUUUUUAUUGAAAUCAGUGUUGACUGAAUCAAGUAAUCCUGAUUAGCAAUCUCACUGUACCCAGUCAAGAGUGAAAUGCAUCCCAGCCCCGCUGCUACACUGAGCAUUCUGAAAUUG